rnacentral:lncRNA from 1 species
UGCAGAUUUAAUGUAAAAGUCCCCAGAUGACAAACACAAAGCCUAGAUAUCAAACAGGAUGAAAAUGCUGAUGUUCAACACCUGCACUGUGUGAGGGCCAAGAAGUAAGCUGAAGGGUUUGCUAACCAACACACCUGCUUGAGAGUGUAGUUUUUAACCCUUUCUUCUUCCUUCUUAAAUGCCUCACUUAAAAUAGGGGAGGAUUCUAACAGAAUGAUGCAAUCGAACAAGAUGUUAAAGCCCAGUUUUGAAGUAGAAACUACAUCCUGCCUUCUCGUCCAGAUCUACCACAGGGCUGCUGUGACAUGGUUAAAGGACAUCUAGCCACAGCUGAUCCAAGAGAUCCUCAUGUUCCAUAAAAUCAACAAGAUGCUCUCAUUCACUGAAAAGCCAGAUCUCGGACUUGUUGAUUGGCUUUUAAGGAGCAUUGAUGAGCUGCAAAGGAUCACCUCUCAGAGAUGCUCAAGGAUAGGAAAUGCAUCAUUAAGAGUGGCCAAAAGAAGGUGAGAGGAGCCAUGUAUAGAUGAAACUACUUUAUGGCAAGUCCACCCACCUGGAGACCCUUGGUCAUGUCAAUGGUACCAUAUAGCAACUUGAAUUAGAGAUGGCUGGAAGAUCUUGUGUGAAUAAUAAAAACAUGAACCUGUUACUUGAAGGACUCA